UACGUAGGGUGCGAGCGUUAAUCGGAAUUACUGGGCGUAAAGCGUGCGCAGGCGGUUUUGUAAGCCAGAUGUGAAAGCCCCGGGCUUAACCUGGGAAUGGCAUUUGGGACUGCAAGGCUUGAGUGCGGCAGAGGAGACUGGAAUUCCUGGUGUAGCAGUGAAAUGCGUAGAUAUGCGGAGGAACACCGAUGGCGAAGGCAAUCCCCUGGGCCUGCACUGACGCUCAUGCACGAAAGCGUGGGGAGCGAACAGG
rnacentral:rRNA from 1 species